rnacentral:rRNA from 1 species
UACGAAGGGGGCUAGCGUUGUUCGGAAUUACUGGGCGUAAAGCGCGUGUAGGCGGGUCUUUAAGGCAGGGGUGAAAUGCCAAGGCUCAACCUUGGAACUGCCUUUGAUACUGGAGACCUUGAGUCCGGGAGAGGUGAGUGGAAUUGCGAGUGUAGAGGUGAAAUUCGUAGAUAUUCGCAAGAACACCAGUGGCGAAGGCGGCUCACUGGCCCGGAACUGACGCUGAGACGCGAAAGCGUGGGGAGCAAACAGG